rnacentral:lncRNA from 1 species
UGAUAAUUAAUUAGUAAAUUUUUUAUUAUUAUAAUUAAUAAUGAAUUAAAUGACAUCGAAAUUUUACAACAAUAACAGAUGAUCAUCCUUAUUCCUUGACACCAUUUUGAUAACCAUGCUAUUAGUAUUUUCCAUUUCAUUCCCACAACCAAAUGAAAUUAGAUUAUUAGGGUAUCAAUGGAUAAACAGCCUCCUCACUCACUCAUUCCCACUGGAUUACUGCAGCACAACAAAUGAUUCCCAGACUCAAUCACAGCUACCGCAGGCUAACAGUAAUACAUGGUGAUCAGGUGAAAGAAGAUCCAUUUAGAACCCUCUUCUGGCACAACCUUUUUGCGGCGAUCAUUGUGCAUUUUGAUAAUACCAUGGGUUCCCAUAAAAAUGAUGAGAAUGACCGGCAUUAACCUACACCUGCAAGUUCUUCAAUGACAAGGGGGGGACCUGCUAUAACAGUAAUAAUAUUAAUAAUGCAUCAAACAGUGACUUCAGGGGAAGAAGAAGACGAUUUGGUUAGGAAGUUUAUAGAGCUUACCCUCCAUACAAAGCUCUAAUGUCCAUGACGUUUCCCACAGGUGCCCCGACUGAUUCCAAUUCCAUUGUAUUCCGUAUGAUCGUGAGACAACAUUCAUCUAGUGGUUAAAUCUGAGAUUUCAACAAGAUAGAUGGCUGCUCUAAUCUCUUUCGCCAUUUCUCCAGAUUGACAGAUCCACAUUCAGAUAUGAUAUAUCUCCGACUGCGUGUCUCCAGGGGCAGAUUCCUGAAUUCAGAGAUAUUCCAAAUCAUAAUGAAGAACAUAAGCAAACAGUAAAGACGUCCUCAGAAGAAAACAAAACUUCAUAAUCUUUGGGUUAAGUUUAUCAUACACCAUCUGAAGUGUGCUUCUCAGAAGAAAAGAAAACUCCAAAUAUUCACAACGUCCUUUCGGUACCUGAAUCCAAAUGAUUAUAUGGCACAGUAGUGAAUUGAAAGAUGGAUAAUCUGACAGAAAAAGGUAAAGAUAGAUUAACUUAUUUAAAGCAAACUAAACGCCAAAUGCUGUCCUGAGGAAUUAGUAGGUUUAUAUCGAAUCAAAAUCACAAAUAAAUAUGAAAUACCAGAACCCAUUUAGUACAAUGUAAGGAAGGGGUCUCAUAUCAUUUUCUAAGCUAUCAAGAAACUCUUCCAAAGGCCUCAAACUUUAACAAAAAAAGAUCACUAUAUGGAUGUCUAAUAACUUCAAGAAAAAAACAGGAAGCAUGGUUAACUAGUAUCUCCAGGAACUAAAGAUCAUCCCAACGAACAUGGAACAGUAGAACAAAUUCAUACAACCAUGGGAUGAAGAAAGAACGUACCAGGAGGUAUUCAAAUUCCAGUGCAAAAUGGAAAAUUCAUCCUCUCCAAAUUUUAACAUCCCUUCCAGCAUUUUAUGAACCGAGUGGCAAACAAGAAAAACUGGCCACCAGUAGCAAUGCACAGUGAAGCUUUUACCACCUGCCUGAUGCAAAAAAAAUUAAAUUACCACUGAAACUCUGACAGACAAAAGGACAAAGCAAUAUUCAGACUACUUUCAGAUAGAUGUAGGCAUCACCUUCAGUAUGUCAAGGAGUCAUAAAUUUGACAGCAAGCCAGAUAUAAGUAAAACUCGCGGAAAGCACCAUUUUAGUGCCAUUAACGAAUUGAACUUGUAUUUCAUGUCCAUCCCGGGAGCAUGUGGCGUACCAAGAACACAUUUUUCCGUGGAAAAACCACCAAAGCUGGCUAGAACACCCAUUAUCCAAUAUAUCACGCUUCUCUCUUCUGAAGAAGUGUCAGGAACAGACUGCAGAUUUCAUUGGAACACACACUGUACUACUACUGGUCCCUGACCCAUUGCCAGUGUUAAAUAUUCCACUUCAGAUAAGAUGAUUGACUAAUCAUUAGUCAUUACAAGAAGCAAAAUAGUAAUGGGAAACUGUUACAACCG